GUUGGCAACGUGGAGCGCCUGGAGGAGUCGCUGAUCGCCUUGGAGGAGAAGAUCCGACAGGCCAAGGAUGAAAAGGAGCAGCUCAUCGCCCGCGCGCGGACGGCGAAGACCACCUCCGAGGUGAACGACAUGCUUUCGGGCAUCGGCGACAG
rnacentral:SRP_RNA from 13 species